rnacentral:tRNA from 1 species
GCCUAGUUAGCUUAGUUGGUAGUGCGUCUGCCUUGUAAGCGCUAGGCCGCGGGUUCGAUUCCCGCUCUGUCCA